CUUGCCUCUAGAGGCAUUUUAGGUGUGGCUGCUGUGUCACAUGGGCAUCAGUAGGUGGCAGAGAGGAGAGAGGCUAUGUCUAUGCUCAGUGUUCUGAUCUGUGAACAUCUGAAUGAUUAGUAGCCUAGCAUA